CCCUUAGAUGUCCUGGGCCGCACGCGUGCUACACUGAUGCAUACAGUGAGUACUCCCAGCUCCGAGAGGCUGCUGGUAAUCAGCAAUAUGCAUCGUGAUGGGGAUAGAUCUUUGGAAUUAUAGAUCUUGAACGAGGAAUUCCUAGUAAUCGCAGGUCAUCACCCUGCGUUGACUAAGUCCCUGCCCUUUGUACACACCGCCCGUCGCUCCUACCGAUUUCGAGUGAUCCGGUGAAUCAUUCGGACCGCGGCCCCUAGGCAUGCGGAAAGUCUAGUAAACCAUAUCACUUAGAGGAAGGAGAAGUCGUAACA
rnacentral:rRNA from 1 species